GACGAACGCUGGCGGCGUGCUUAACACAUGCAAGUUGAACGGUCCGGCAUGGAAGCUUGCUGAAGUGUCGGGUAGUAGCGGACGGGUGAGUAAUGCAUGAGAAGCUGCCAUUGGGAGGGGGACAACAGUUGGAAACGGCUGCUAAUACCCCAUAUGCCGGAAGGUGAAACGGAGUGAUCCGCCCGAUGAGGUGCUCAUGUCCUAUCAGCUAGUUGGUGAGGUAACGGCUCACCAAGGCGACGACGGGUAGCCGGCCUGAGAGGGUGACCGGCCACACUGGAACUGAGAUACGGUCCAGACUCCUACGGGAGGCAGCAGUGGGGAAUAUUGGGCAAUGGGGGCAACCCUGACCCAGCGACGCCGCGUGAGGGAAGACGGCCUUCGGGUUGUAAACCUCUUUUGUACGGGAAGAAGGACGUGACGGUACCGUGCGAAUAAGUCCCGGCUAACUACGUGCCAGCAGCCGCGGUAAUAC
rnacentral:rRNA from 1 species